GACGGGGUUACCCGAAGUGUUCAAUUUUGAACUGUGGUAGGUGAGUAAUGUUCCCUACUAGAAAGGAGAGGGCAAGGCUGGUGCCACCCGCCGCGGUAAAACCAGCUCUUCAAGUGGUCGGGAUAAUUAUUGGGCUUAAAGUGUCCGUAGCCGGUUUAGUAAGUUCCUGGUAAAAUCGGGUAGCUUAACUAUCUAUAUGCUAGGAAUACUACUAUACUAGAGGGCGGGAGAGGUCUGAGGUACUACAGGGGUAGGGGUGAAAUCUUAUAAUCCUUGUUGGACCACCAGUGGCGAAGGCGUCAGACUGGAACGCGCCUGACGGUGAGGGACGAAAGCCAGGGGAGCGAACCGGAUUAGAUACCCGGGUAGUCCUGGCCGUAAACGAUGCAUACUAGGUGAUGGCACGGCCAUGAGCCGUGUCAGUGCCGUAGGGAAACCGUUAAGUGUGCCGCCUGGAAGUACGGUCGCAAGGCUAAA
rnacentral:rRNA from 1 species